ACCUCAUAGUAGCAGGCACGCUAUCACAGAGGCCUGUAAUCCCAGCCCUGAGGUAAAGGCAUGAGGAUCUGAAGUUGUAGGUUAUUCUUGGCUGCAUAUCCAGCUCAAGGCCAACACGGCUACAUGAGCAUUUAUCUCAGAACAAAACCAAAACAGGGAAGUUACAAAAACCCUCUCUGUAUUUCUUUUCUGGGUCUCCCUUUCCCUCCCUCCCUCCUCAGGCAGAGUCCCAUGUAGGCAGGCUUGACCUUGAACUGGCUAUGUAGCUGAACUGACAUCGAAUUUCUGAUCCUCCUCCCAAGUGCUGGAAUUACAGACAACAGUUAUUUUUUGAUCUUCAGUACAGCCAUUCUGGAACUUUCUCCAACAUAUGCCAGUCCAGAUGAGCCUCCCUCAGGAACCAAACUACAAAUGUGACAUAGGCAGCUAGUAUAAUAAGUGAGAAGAACAGAAAAAUAUGUUACUACCUGGGAAACUAAGGUUGCAGGCUAAUGGACUUGUGUCCAAUAACACCACCUUCCUCAAACAAAAGAAGUGUGGAGCAUUAAUGCAGAGCUUAUACACAAUUAUAUAAGAAAGCCUUUUAAGGACAGACACACACCUAACCAUGGUCAAUUAAGGAGCACACUUCUGAACAUGCGCAGUUCCUUCCCACAUGAUCCUCUGUGGAGAUCAACUUGCAACACAAGAGAAUGUCUUCCCCCACAGCAAAGUGGAAAGAUGUACAUUAUGGAUUGCAGGUAUGUGCUACACUGCCUGGUGUGUAUGAUGCUGGAAGGAUUGGAUCUAGGACCCUAUGCAUACCAGUAAAGUCUCAUAUAUCUUUGGCUGGCCUUUGAACUCAAUAUAUGUCUUAUGAUGACCUUAAAUGAAUCCUCUGGUUAUCACCUCCCAAGCCUGGACUUAGAGAAGUGCAUCAUCGUAUCAGCUUUAUGUGGUCCCGGGGGAGCAGAUCUAUGGCUUCAUGCAUGAGCUAUAGCCCCAUCCCACAUCUCAUUUCUUUUUUUCCACUAGCCUGUCCAGAGCCAAUAGGACGGACUGUGUUAAACACAAAUAAAAAUGAGGAUUCUCUUCUAGUGUUUGAUCUUUAUGCAAUGCGUCCAUCAAGUGCUGCUGUAAGUUGGUGUAUGACCUUUAU
rnacentral:lncRNA from 1 species